rnacentral:rRNA from 1 species
GACGAACGCUGGCGGCAAGCUUAACACAUGCAAGUCGAACGCCGUAGCAAUACGGAGUGGCAGACGGGUGAGUAACACGUGGGAAAGUGCCUUUCGGCUCGGAACAACGGGGGGACACUUCAGCUAAAACCGGAUAAGCCCUUCGGGGGACAGUUUAAGCUGAAAGAUCGGCCCGCGUCAGAUUAGGUAGUUGGCAGGGUAAUGGCCCAGCAAGCCGAUGAUCUGUAGCUGUUCUGAGAGGAAGAUCAGCCACACUGGGAAUGAGACACGGCCCAGACUCCUACGGGAGGCAGCAGUGGGGAAUAUUGGACCAUGGGCGCAAGCCUGAUCCAGCUAUGCGGCGUGGAUGAAGAAGGCCUUCGGGUUGUAAAGUCCUUUCGGCGGGGAAGAUAAUGACGGUACCCGCAGAAGAAGCCCCGGCUAAUUUCGUGCCAGCAGCCGCCGUAAGAC